AACGCACAUUGCGCCUUCUGGUAUUCCGGAAGGCAUGCCUGUUUGAGCGUCAGCAAAAACCCUUCAGCAGACUAUUUUAUUGGUUUGUUAGGUAUUGAGUAUGAAGGAAUUGGGUCCUUGUGGCCUUGCUUCUACUUUAAACUUGCUGCACGACCGCAAGCUAUUGCCAGGUCUAUGGAAGUGGUGUUUACAUAUAUUUUCCAGUACGAUCUGACUAGCUAAGUGGCGUUAAACCAGUGUUGUCUACCAAGGCAACUGAAGUUUGACCUCAAAUCAGACAAGGAUACCCGCUGAACUUAA
rnacentral:misc_RNA from 1 species